rnacentral:rRNA from 1 species
UACGUAGGGGGCAAGCGUUGUCCGGAUUUAUUGGGCGUAAAGAGCGUGUAGGCGGCCGUACAGGUCAGCUGUGAAAACUCGAGGCUCAACCUCGAGACGUCGGUUGAAACCGUACGGCUAGAGUCCGGAAGAGGAGAGUGGAAUUCCCGGUGUAGCGGUGAAAUGCGUAGAUAUCUGGAGGAACACCGGUGGCGAAGGCGGCAUCCUGGACCGGCAUUGACGCUGAGGCGCGAAAGCUAGGGGAGCAAACGGG